rnacentral:rRNA from 1 species
AGAACGAACGCUGGCGGCGUGCCUAACACAUGCAAGUCGAGCGCGAAAAGGGCAACCUGAGUAGAGCGGCGCACGGGUGCGUAACACGUGGGUAAUCUGCCUCAAAGUUUGGGAUAACCUUCCGAAAGGUUGGCUAAUACCGGAUAAGCUCACGAGGUCUUCGGACUUUGUGGGAAAAGGUGGCCUCUGUUUACAUGCCAUCACUUUGAGAUGAGCCCGCGGCCCAUCAGCUAGUUGGCGGGGUAAAGCCCACCAAGGCUACGACGGGUAGCUGGUCUGAGAGGACGAUCAGCCACACUGGAACUGAGACACGGUCCAGACUCCUACGGGAGGCAGCAGUGGGGAAUUUUGCACAAUGGGCGAAAGCCUGAUGCAGCAACGCCGCGUGUGUGAUGAAGGUCUUCGGAUCGUAAAGCACUUUCGACCGGGACGAACAACCUCUGGUAAUUCUCAGGGCCUGACGGUACCGGAGAAGAGCACCGGCUAACUCUGUGCCAGCA